GCACAGGAUUCCUAAAGAAAUUGGGCGCCUUAAGGAGAAAUCCUCAAAGUGGAUCUGCUCAAAUUCGGGGAAAGCUUCAUGGGAGACCAUAUGUCAAUCCCGAGCCAAGCCUCUCUUUAAACGAAAGGAAGGUGUAGAGACUGAACGGGCAGCACCUAAAAAGCAUAAGCUUCAAGGUGAAGAGACAGUCCAGACCACAAACAG
rnacentral:ncRNA from 1 species